AGAGUUUGAUCCUGGCUCAGGACGAACGCUGGCGGCGCGCCUAACACAUGCAAGUCGAACGAGCGAGAGAGAGCUUGCUUUCUUGAGCGAGUGGCGAACGGGUGAGUAACGCGUGAGGAACCUGCCUCAAAGAGGGGGACAACAGUUGGAAACGACUGCUAAUACCGCAUAAGCCCACGACCCGGCAUCGGGUAGAGGGAAAAGGAGCAAAUCCGCUUUGAGAUGGCCUCGCGUCCGAUUAGCUAGUUGGUGAGGUAACGGCCACCAAGGCAACGAUCGGUAGCCGGACUGGAGAGGUUGAACGGCCACAUUGGGACUGAGACACGGCCCAGACUCCUACGGGAGGCA
rnacentral:rRNA from 1 species